rnacentral:sRNA from 1 species
UAUUCUGCCCUACAGGGAAGGAUGAGAAGCUUCGACUAAGGUUCGACUCGAGCGAAGCGAGAGAACGUUGCCGCAGGCAAUGGCCCGAAGGCGAGGCGCUUUAGCGCCGAGUAA